UACGUAGGGUGCAAGCGUUGUCCGGAAUUAUUGGGCGUAAAGAGCUCGUAGGCGGUCUGUCGCGUCUGCUGUGAAAACUCAGGGCUUAACCCUGAGCUUGCAGUGGGUACGGGCAGACUAGAGUGCGGGUAGGGGGAGACUGGAAUUCCUGGGUGAUAGCGGUGAAAUGCGCAGAUAUCAGGAGGAACACCGGUGGCGAAGGCGGGUCUCUGGGCCGUAACUGACGCUGGAGGA
rnacentral:rRNA from 1 species